AACGAACGCUGGCGGCAUGCCUAACACAUGCAAGUCGAACGAGACCUCCGGGUCUAGUGGCGCACGGGUGCGUAACGCGUCGGAACCUGCCCUUAGGCUCGGAAUAACUCCCCGAAAGGGGUGCUAAUACCGGAUAAUGUCUUCGGACCAAAGAUUUAUCGGCUUUGGAUGGGCCCGUGUUGGAUUAGCUUGUUGGAAGUGUAAAAGCCUACCAAGGCGUAGAUCCAUAGCUGGGCUUAGAGGAUGAUCAGCCACACUGGGACGGGGACCCGGCCCGAACUUCUGAGGAUGGGAGCAGUGGGGAAUAAUGGACAAUGGGCGAGAGCCUGAUCCAGCAGUGCCGCGUGAGUGAUGAAGGGCUUAGGGUUGUAAAGCUCUUUUACCCGCGAUGAUAAUGACAGUACCGGGGGAAAAAGCUCCGGCUAAUUCCGU
rnacentral:rRNA from 1 species